GAUGAACGCUGGCGGCGUGCCUAAUACAUGCAGGUCGAGCGAACGGACGAGAAGCUUGCUUCUCUGAUGUUAGCGGCGGACGGGUGAGUAACACGUGGGUAACCUACCUAUAAGACUGAGAUAACUUCGGGAAACCGGAGCUAAUACCGGAUAAUAUUUUGAACCGCAUGGUUCAAAAGUGAAAGACGGUCUUGCUGUCACUUAUAGAUGGAUCCGCGCUGCAUUAGCUAGUUGGUAAGGUAACGGCUUACCAAGGCAACGAUGCAUAGCCGACCUGAGAGGGUGAUCGGCCACACUGGAACUGAGACACGGUCCAGACUCCUACGGGAGGCAGCAGUAGGGAAUCUUCCGCAAUGGGCGAAAGCCUGACGGAGCAACGCCGCGUGAGUGAUGAAGGUCUUCGGAUCGUAAAACUCUGUUAUUAGGGAAGAACAUAUGUGUAAGUAACUGUGCACAUCUUGACGGUACCUAAUCAGAAAGCCACGGCUAACUACGUG
rnacentral:rRNA from 1 species